rnacentral:rRNA from 1 species
UACGAAGGGGGCUAGCGGUGGUCGGCAUCACUGGGCGUAAAGCGCACGUAGGCGGACUUUUAAGUCAGGGGUGAAAUCCCAGGGCUCAACCCUGGAACUGCCCUUGAUACUGAAAGUCUCGAGUCCGGGAGAGGUGAGUGGAACUCCGAGUGUAGAGGUGAAAUUCGUAGAUAUUCGGAAGAACACCAGUGGCGAAGGCGGCUCACUGGCCCGGUACUGACGCUGAGGUGCGAAAGCGUGGGGAGCAAACAGG